UCGACUUUCACAAUCGAGCAAUCGAGCCGAUGGAAAAUUUUUUGUGGAUCAGUGGAUCGUUAAAAAAUUAUAAUAUGGUGACCACGUUGCGAGUGUGUCGGGUAAAACCUAAAACUGUAUAAAAGUCGUAAGUGGUAUAAGACCAUCUGUUGCCUGUUGGCUCGCAGCUUUCUUUUCGGUUACGUUUCGUCGACGAGUAGACUCGCUUUGCUAAUUUGCUUUUUUAAAAUGGUGAACGAUUCGUCUUUGGCAUCAUAUCAUGGCAUCUUUGAUUUAUUCAGAAUAUCUUAACAUGUAAAUAAUUUAGCGACCACGUUGCGAGUGUGAGACUUUUCUAGAAUCCAGACCUAGAUUUUGUAGUUUUAGUUUGAAGAAUGAUGGCGAAAAUAAUAACAGGUAUUGCAUUAAUCUUCUCCUGUUUCUAAUUAUUUGUAGCAUGCCACUACCAAGCCCGUUUUAACCUCCAUUCUCUCUGCCUCUAUUUUAUCAAAGGACUAAAGCAUCAGAUCUCGAAACACACAGGCGAUGAAACACAAUAGAUGUCCAAUGUGGUUCAAGAUUUCCAUCAUGGCCUAAGAAUAAUUUGCCGGCUUUAAUCUACCUUUUGAACCAUUCAAGAUGAAGAAGAAUGUCUCGUUUUUCUCUGAGAAGAAAUGGUGACCAAAGCCGGCAGCAUUUGCAAAACGGGCAGGGAGGUCGCCACAUGUUUUCUCCUAUUGCGUAUUCGCAAGACAGUGGAAACUCCCAAAUUGUCGCACCCCAUCAAGAUUUCACAUUUCAAAUAACAUGGUGUUUUUAAAAGGUUCCUGACUGCAUCAAAUUGUUAUUUUUUAGUUGGAGUGGUGAAGAAGAAAGUGCCCCAACCCUUUUCUGUUGGAACAGUAGCUCUAAUGUAUCAAGACAUCUUGGGUGAAA
rnacentral:lncRNA from 1 species